rnacentral:rRNA from 1 species
UUGUCUCAAAGAUUAAGCCAUGCAUGUCUCAGUACAAGCCAUAUUAAGGUGAAACCGCGAAAGGCUCAUUAAAUCAGUUAUGGUUCCUUAGAUCGUACCCACUUUUACUUGGAUAACUGUGGUAAUUCUAGAGCUAAUACAUGCAAAUAGAGCUCCGACCGGAUGACGGGAGGAGCGCUUUUAUUAGAUCAAAACCAAUCGGUGGCGGGUUCGCCCGACAUCGUACAACUUGGUGACUCUGAAUAACUUUAAGCUGAUCGCACGGUCUCGCACCGGCGACGCAUCUUUCAAAUGUCUGCCUUAUCAACUGUCGAUGGUAGGUUCUGCGCCUACCAUGGUUGUAACGGGUAACGGGGAAUCAGGGUUCGAUUCCGGAGAGGGAGCCUGAGAAACGGCUACCACAUCCAAGGAAGGCAGCAGGCGCGCAAAUUACCCACUCCCGGCACGGGGAGGUAGUGACGAAAAAUAACGAUACGGGACUCAUCCGAGGCCCCGUAAUCGGAAUGAGUACACUCUAAACCCUUUAACGAGGAUCAAUUGGAGGGCAAGUCUGGUGCCAGCAGCCGCGGUAAUUCCAGCUCCAAUAGCGUAUAUUAAAGUUGUUGCGGUUAAAAAGCUCGUAGUCGAAUUUGUGUCCCGCGCCGCCGGUUCAUCGUCCGCGGUGUUAACUGGCGUGUCGCGGAAUGUCCUGCCGGUGGGCUUAGCGCGCAAGUGCGGCCCAAUCAAUCCUGCCACGGUGCUCUUCACUGAGUGUCGAGGUGGGCCGGCACGUUUACUUUGAACAAAUUAGAGUGCUUAAAGCAGGCUAAAACUUCGCCUGAAUACUGUGUGCAUGGAAUAAUGGAAUAGGACCUCGGUUCUAUUUUGUUGGUUUUCGGAACUCCGAGGUAAUGAUUAAUAGGAACGGAUGGGGGCAUUCGUAUUGCGACGUUAGAGGUGAAAUUCUUGGNCUNGUCGCAAGACGGACAGAAGCGAAAGCAUUUGCCAAAAACGCUUUCAUUGAUCAAGAACGAAAGUUAGAGGUUCGAAGGCGAUCAGAUACCGCCCUAGUUCUAACCAUAAACGAUGCCAGCUAGCGAUCCGCCGACGUUCCUCCGAUGACUCGGCGGGCAGCUUCCGGGAAACCAAAGCUUUUGGGUUCCGGGGGAAGUAUGGUUGCAAAGCUGAAACUUAAAGGAAUUGACGGAAGGGCACCACCAGGAGUGGAGCCUGCGGCUUAAUUUGACUCAACACGGGAAACCUCACCAGGCCCGGACACCGGAAGGAUUGACAGAUUGAGAGCUCUUUCUUGAUUCGGUGGGUGGUGGUGCAUG